ensembl:lncRNA
GAUACUUAGCCUACAAGUGCGUCGCUCCGUCCUCGACAUGCGUAGGAACUUGGAAUGGGACCAAAUCCUAUGCGCACGUACAUUGCAAUAUGCUAAUUACGCAAAUGAAUAGAUACCUUGUAACUGGAGAUUCCUUCAAAACGAUUGCCUAUAGUUACCGUGUAGGGCACUGCAAGGUUGGGUGACCAGGGCCAUCUGGAACUGCCUCCUGGAGGAAUUCAGACAUGUGAAGGCUACCUGUGUCCUAUAUAACUUCAUGAGGAUGGACAAGAGGACCAGUUGGGGAUCUGCAGCUCGAAACCAUGUGCCAGAGGAGAAGUCUGCUGCUCAGCAGGAUGUUUCAAGGAUGGGGUCCAACAAUGCAGAGCGAGAGGGUGCUGUUCCCUGGCAACACCAUAGACUACAUUACACUGAUUUCUACUUCUCAGGUUAGGGUGCUGUUUAGGUAAGGGUGUGAUGUCUGUACAAAAACAAAACAGACUAUUUUAAGUCACCCAUAUUGAAAUCAUGUAGAACAAUUAGACACCCUAUAACUCACACCUACACACUCCUGUAUCAAUCUGAUUGAUGGAUUGUGCUGUGCAGGCUCAGGUGUAUAACUGUGGCUCCUUCCAACUUCAAACAGUAGGCAAGAGGGCCAACCAUGGAGAAUAGUAAGACACUUCAUUAUUUCUUUAACUCCGCUAUAUUGUUUGUCCUCGUGUGUCUGCAUGUUUUUCAGCAUAAAGUAUUAUGCAGCCACUUACUGUGGACACACACACAGAUUCCUGUUGAUCACUGUCUCUACCUAACUUCUUUUCUCAAUAACAGUCUCUCUCCUUCACUUCAUCCCUAUCUCCCCUUCUCCCUAAACCCUAUAAGUUAUAUCAGCUGUGUGUAACUUGGCUAGUUAAAUCAAAAAUAAAAAUAUUAGCUGUGUCGGUGAACCCCUCCCGCAUCUGAACUGGCAACAUAGAGGGCACAGCGUGAUCAGAGGUGAGGUCACUUGGUCGGGUUAACAGGAAGUAUUAUUAGAGAUGCUUUACAUUGAAAUAUAAGUAGAGAUGCAGUAGUCCCAGAGUUAAUGAUCCAAGGUCAGUUUUGCAUUUCACCUGAUGAUUAUGAUGACUUACAGUGUUAGAAUACUUUUUUUUAAAGCAUGGCUUAAACAUGCUAUCUCUCUCCAUCUGUCUCUCGUCUGCAGGUAUGUUUUGAUGUGAGAGAGGAUGCCAAUCGCCAGUCCCGUCAUUGCCACCUCACCCACUCUUAAGAUAACCUUUGGGCCGACUGGGAGCCCAAGGCUGGUUAGGAGACACAACUAGAGAAACUAUUUUGUAAUUGUGAUGAACUGAGAUAAUAUUAGGGUAACACUGUGAUUCAUUAAUCAUAUGCUGUCUUCCCUGCUCUGUUCUUACCUCUUUCCCUUUCUUUUUAUCUCUCUCAUCGCCACCUCUUUCUUCCUGUUUUUAUAAUGCACACCAGAUGUGCAUUUGAAGUAAAGAUUGAACUUGUAUUUAUAAUAUUACAAUUAUAAUAUUUAUAAUGCAUGUAUUAUGUAUUUAUAACACUUGGAUAAUGAACUUCUUUCAAUAAAGUGUUUGACAUUCUCUACUGGUUGAAA